CCUACGGGCGGCAGCAGUGAGGAAUAUUGGUCAAUGGACGCAAGUCUGAACCAGCCAUGCCGCGUGCAGGAAGACGGCCCUAUGAGUUGUAAACUUCUUUUGUACGAGGGUAAACGCAGAUACGUGUAUCUGUCUGAAAGUAUCUUACGAAUAAGGAUCGGCUAACUCCGUGCCAGCAGCCGCGGUAAUACGGAGGAUUCAAGCGUUAUCCGGAUUUAUUGGGUUGAAAGGGUGCGUAGGCGGUUGGUUAAGUUAGGGGUGAAAGGCCGAGGCUCAACUUCGGAAUUGCCUCUGAUACUGGUAGGCUAGAGAGUAGUUGAGGUAGGCGGAAUGCAUGGUGUAGCGGUGAAAUGCUUAGAGAUCAUACAGAACACCGAUUGCGAAGGCAGCUUACCAAGCUACUUCUGACGUUGAGGCACGAAAGCGUGGGGAGCAAACAGGAUUAGAUACCCCAGUAGUC
rnacentral:rRNA from 1 species